AUUGAACGCUGGCGGCAGGCCUAACACAUGCAAGUCGAACGAGUGGCGGACGGGUGAGUAAUGUUUGGGAAUCUAGCUUAUGGCGGGGGAUAACUACGGGCAACUGUAGCUAAUACCGCGUACCAUAGGAUGAUCCCAAGUGGGAUUAGGUAGUUGGUGGGGUAAAGGCUCACGAAGCCGACGAUCUCUAGCUGGUCUGAGAGGAUGACCAGCCACACUGGGACUGAGACACGGCCCAGACUCCUACGGGAGGCAGCGGUGGGGAAUAUUGCGCAAUGGGGGCAACCUGACGCAGCCAUGCCGCGUGGAUGAAGAAGGCCUUCGGGUUGUAAAGUUCUUUCGGUAGCGAGGCGUUAACUACAGAAGAAGCACCGGCUAACUCCGUGCCAGCAGCCGCGGUAAUAC
rnacentral:rRNA from 1 species